GCGAGUGUAGCUCAGCGGUAGAGCGCAAUCUUGCCAAGAUUGAUGUCGCGCGUUCGAAUCGCGUCACGCGCU
rnacentral:tRNA from 1 species